rnacentral:rRNA from 1 species
CCCCGCCUGGGGAGUACGGGUGAGGUAACGGCUCACCAAGGCAUCGACGGGUAGCUGGUCUGAGAGGAUGAUCAGCCACACUGGGACUGAGACACGGCCCAGACUCCUACGGGAGGCAGCAGUAGGGAAUAUUGCACAAUGGGCGAAAGCCUGAUGCAGCAACGCCGCGUGCGGGAAGAAGGCCCUAGGGUUGUAAACCGCUUUCAGCAGGGAAGAAAAUGACGGUACCUGCAGAAGAAGGUGCGGCCAACUACGUGCCAGCAGCCGCGGUGACACGUAGGCACCAAGCGUUGUCCGGAUUUAUUGGGCGUAAAGAGCUCGUAGGCGGUUCAGUUGGUCGGGUGUGAAAACUCUGGGCUCAACCCAGAGACGCCACUCGAUACUGCUGUGACUAGAGUGCGGUAGGGGAGCGGGGAAUUCCUAGUGUAGCGGUGAAAUGCGCAGAUAUUAGGAGGAACACCAGUGGCGAAGGCGCCGCUCUGGGCCGUAACUGACGCUGAGGAGCGAAAGCGUGGGUAGCAAACAGGAUUAGAUACCCUGGUAGUCCACGCCGUAAACGUUGGGCACUAGGUGUGGGUCUCAACCAACGAGAUCCACGCCGUCGCUAACGCAUUAAGUGCCCCGCCUGGGGAGUACGG